GCAUUUAGCGUCGCUGUUGUUAUAAGUAAGCAAAUAGAAAUAAGUGAACGCAAAAGGAGCAUUUUAUCGCAGAUUAGAGGCAAAUGCCCAUUUUGCCAAUGAAAGGUCAAUAAAAAUGGGCAGUAGAGCUUCUUUUUUGGACUUUAGCGCGGUCACAAUUCUUGCUUGAUUUCGGCGAAAUUGGUGCAGUGUACGUUUUAGCCAUUUGGUUUGCCUGCAGCUUUUUCGUUAUUUGGAUGUGAAAUGCAAAUACUGAGAUUCCCACGAAGACUAACGGUUCAUGUGUAGGAUCUAUUUUAAUCAUGUAUUUAUUUGAGUGUUGCUGUGCUAUGGACCAGCAGGAGAUGUUGACUUACAAGGAAAAAUAAACGUGUUAUAAAGUUUGGCUCAUGUUGGGCAGUGAAAUUC